UGCAUAGAGUGUAGUUCUUGGAGAUGUGUACAAGUUAAGAUCCAUAAUAUAGGAGAUAUUUUAUUUUCAGCAUAUUAUUUGUGGAUUAGUGAUCGUAUGAACUCUUGUAAUAUUGUUGCAAAUUAUAAUGAAAGACCAAUAAAUUUUCAAUGGGAAACCAUUGAAGAGUGGAUUAAGCACAAAGUGAGGACGAGCGUGCCAAACCACUAUAAAUCCU
rnacentral:lncRNA from 1 species